AAGCGGAUUGCCUGAUGGCUGCCCUGUCAAUGGAUCCCAACAUUGGAGUUCCCCUGCCUUGCUUCCACUUACAAGAUGCUUACCAUCAGGUGACCAUGCAAUACUGAGGACCCAGUUCUUGUGCCCUGACAUUUUUUCCACCCACAAUCCAUUUCAAUGGUGCAAAGUGCAGCUUAUGCCUCUAGGAAAAUCCAACCCGUCGCACCUUCCCCAAUUCCCAAUAUGAAAAAUAAAGAAAUAUAACAAACUCCUACUGUCCUCCAG